rnacentral:rRNA from 1 species
GUACGCUAUUCAGAGUUUGAUCCUGGCUCAGGAUGAACGCUGGCGGCGUGCUUAACACAUGCAAGUCGAACGAAGCACUGGGAAUGAAGUUUUCGGACAGAUUUCCCUUUGACUUAGUGGCGGACGGGUGAGUAACGCGUGGGCAACCUGCCGUAUGCAGGGGGACAACAGUUGGAAACGGCUGCUAAUACCGCAUAAGCGCACGGUACCGCAUGGUACAGUGUGAAAAGAUUUAUCGGCAUACGAUGGGCCCGCGUUGGAUUAGGCAGUUGGCAGGGUAACGGCCUACCAAACCGACGAUCCAUAGCCGACCUGAGAGGGUGACCGGCCACAUUGGGACUGAGACACGGCCCAA